UACGUAGGGUGCAAGCGUUGUCCGGAUUUAUUGGGUUUAAAGGGUGCGUAGGCGGCCCUGUAAGUCAGUGGUGAAAUACUCCAGCUUAACUGGAGGGGUGCCAUUGAUACUGCAGGGCUUGAGUUAAGUUGAAGUUGGCGGAAUUGACGGUGUAGCGGUGAAAUGCUUAGAUAUCGUCAAGAACACCGAUAUGAAGACAGCUAACUAAACUUUUACUGACGCUGAGGCACGAAAAGUGUGGGGAUCAAACAGG
rnacentral:rRNA from 1 species